rnacentral:lncRNA from 1 species
CUGCUUUUUAGACCUGAAUCCAAGCCUCAUUUUUUUGGGCCACAUGUACUCAAGAAAUGAAUGGUACAAAUGCAUAGCAUGGACAAAAGAACAGACUGAAAGCAGAGCAUAUAAAGAAGGUUUCUAUUACUGGUAUUUGGAAGCUGGGCCAAAUCAUACGUGCUGUGGAGAUCCUUGUACAACUUGGAGGAGUAUGAUUUGAGAUCGAAAAAGGACAAAAGUGUUCACUCACCAAGAAGUUAAAAGUUAAGAAACCUAAGAAGAUGGUAGGUAAAUAUCUAACUGUUCUCAAUGAGUUUAAGUCAUAAAACCCACAUAAUUUAAUUCCAAGGUCCUGAAAGAAUUAGCUGAUGUUAUUUUUUGGCUGUUGUUAGUGUUUUGGAAACAACAAGGAGAACAGGACCCGAGGUCCAGAACUACUUUAGAGCAAUUUUUCCUACAAUUUUCAAAGAAGGAAAGAGGUCAGCUUGAAUUUGAUAUAUGGCAAAAAUCUAUAAGGGAUCAUUAAUGGGAUGAGUUGUUUUCACUGA